UGUCUAGACUCACCUAAAGAAUAGUCUUGAAACUGGCUUGGACAAUACUUGAGUUCCUCUUGAACAAAGCUGAAUGGACCAAGAGACUGAAUGGAUAGGAUGGGAUUAGAAAAGCUCCACACCUUAGCAAAACAAACUAAAGGACUAGAUGGCCUCAACUGAUCCUCUUCUCCAAGUUAAGCUUGCAGCCGAACUUCUGAUCUUUCUCAAAGUAACAGACUGAUUUAGGGUUCAAGAUUAGAUCACAGGAAUUUUUUCUUGAUUUAUUUUCCUAAUUUUCUCACUGAUUUUUCUGUUCUUCUUUCUCUCUUUCUCUCUGAAAUUCUCUAGGUUUUUCUGUAGGUUUCAGAACGUGGGAAGCAGCUGGAGGAGAGUAAAAUACAACCUGAGGUUACUUCAUAUGAGGGUUUAGCUCAUAACCAAGCUUGGCUGAGAGCAGACAGCUGGCAACCUGUUUCAUCAUCUACACCAUACUGUCCUUUCCCUCCCAUGAAGCAGUUUCCAGCCAAUCAUAAAUAAUUAAAGGAGGAAGCAAGCACACAUGCAGCUUGUGGUGGUCAUGUGCCAUUUACUGAAGAAGCUAAGUAAGCAGGCAGGUGCAAGUCAAGUGAAUGAAUACUGAACAAGCAGGCUGGUGGAAGACAUGAGUCUGUUCAAAAUAAAUUAGGCAGUUGGUUGAUGAUUUUAAAUAAUUUUCAACCAAAUAUUCCUUGUCUUUGUCUCUCGUCUUGUUCCCGGAAAGUCUCGUCCAGCUUAAUAAAAAUUCGACCAAAAUAUUUAAGACUCGGCCAAACUAUCAAGUGAAGGUCUUUCGACCACAAAACAGUCCCGUCGAGAAAUUAAUCUACCGGGUCGAUUUUUAUUUUUAUUAAUCAUGGUUGAACCAACUAAAAACUGGUCGAGCGAGAUUUUUCUCGACCAAAAAUUUAUUGGCUCGUGAGGGUUAUUACAAUGUUCAUCCUCUGAAUCGGAGAGUGAUGAUGAAGAAAGUGAUUGUAGGAUUCAGAAGACGAAGAAGAAGACAUUGAGUCCUGGGCACACUCGAGAAGUUGACAAGAAGGCAAAUUACUUACAGAAACUAUGAAUUCAUGUAGUUUUACAAUUAUUUUGAAGUUGGUUAUCUUUAUUAUUAUUAGUGUGGUGAUUAGUCUAACAAACAAGAGAUGUUCAUUAUUGUAUACUAUUAUUAGGUUCAAGUUUGGAGCAUAAUCCCCCAAGAUCCCGACCGUCCUAUAGAUGAGUCAUGACUAAUGUGGCAAUUGAAGUGCUCGACGUGAAGGUGGAAAUUUUGGUUAAACUCAUCAAUGCGAACCAUGUAUUCAUGAAGGAGAUGUUCCGUGGAGGUGCUACAAAAUUAGAUGUAGAAAGGAUGCGUGAGAAACCAAGAAUACAUGCGAGAAAGAAGACGGCAUCAGUGAAGGGCAAAGCUGUAACUUCAUUGGAUGAGGCGAAGAUUAUCUCCCUUGUAAGUGGUAUUCUUAAACCCGAGAUAGAGAGGUCGAUGGGAAAGUAGCAUCGGCGAUUGCAUCGGUUCAAGCUUUGUCCACCGAGGCUAUAUCGCAAGAGGCUAGUGUUUCAAAUUGGAAAUUCUGAGUAUGGUGCAAAAUGCUCUUUCUAAACAUGUUCUGGAGAAAGAAGCGAUGACGCCUCCUCGGGUUACCACAAGCAAGGUUCCGUCAGGUGCUAACAUCACUGCAGGUCCGGUCGAUGCUAAUGACGAAAUUCUAAAAAAUGUGAUGGCAAAUAUAAGUGAUUAUUCCACGCCUCCUGAUUCUGUGGACCGUGUGCAAGUAAGUUAGUUUCAGUUUACAUAGUUUACAUAUGUAAGUUGGACAGAUUAUGGUGGAGUUAUAUGUUAGUUAUAAUUUAUGAACAAGUGUUUGUCAAGUAACCGGAUUAAUUAGAAAGUCAAAGGACAUAAAUGCUACGUAUAUAUCCGGUUUUUGUUUCAUAUGUGGGUUUAUCUUACCACAUGUUCUGUAUCGCUAGUAUUUUGGUAUAUAUUGGUUUAUCUUUAUAUGUUAUGUACGUUUGUUUCAUAUAUGUAUUGCAUCUCCUGGUAUGUGGAAUGAAAAUAAUGGUGGAGCUACGUAUUCAGCAACCAGUAAGACCAAUGACAGAAACAAAACCGAGGUAUUUAGUUAUUAUCAUUGCUCUUGCUCUUUCAGUAUAUUAAAUUUUUGUCACCAAACUAAAUCUGUCCUUUAAACCACUGCUAGGGUAUUCCUUCAUUUGACUUGGGUGUUACUCAAGAUGUACGUCCACCAGUAGCUGUUCAAGAUGCAGAGCUCGGGGACACUGGGGACAGGCAAUGUGAAGAAAGAGUUGAUGAUCCUCAGCCAUGUCGAAAGAGCAAGAGGCUAAGGCUGGUCCCUCCCCCCAUUGAUCACUGACUAUCAAUGCGAAAUUGCAAUUCUGAAUCGUGCUCGUGAAGCAAAAAUGAAGGGGAGAAACUAUUAUGACUUCAAUGUAGUUGAAGAGAAGUUCGCUAAAUUGUCCAUCAUACUCCAAAAACCAUUGUAAAUUUGAUUAAACAACAAAUGUGUUCUUGAUGGUUAUUAGCUAUAUUACUAACUUGUUCUAUAUCUCAAUGGCCAGUGUGAUAAAUGUGUCGGGAUUGUCUGUUACUGGAAAAGACAUUACCGAUAUUGCCGAAAAAACUCGCCCUUUGCCCGGGAAGGUAAGGAGGAAGUCGCAUCUAAGCUUAUUUUACAUAGGAAAUUGAAAUUUUAAUCGGAAUGUAGUUGCAUCUUAUCUUAUUUGAAAAUUUAAUCCUGAAUGUAGAUAGGUGCGAGAUUGUGUUUAGUUGCAUAUUGGAUUCCAUUUUUUAUAAACCAACUAAUGCAUACUUCACUACUCCGUAUUUAAUAUUCACUUCAUGAUUUGCGCAUUUUACGUUUGCGUGUCAGGUGUUUGCUAUUGCGGCUGGUUCGGUCUACGUUCUACAAUCAAGUUGGCAGUAGAGGUGGCAAGAUACCUGAGUUCCUCGAUAGUAGGCUUGUCUCCUUGUUGGCGAGGAACUAUGAUAGGUUCAGGAGAUCAAAGUCUAAAGAAUCAUAUGUCUUCGCUAAGGGGUUGGUAGACUGCCUUGUUAAGAGUUGCAGCUCAGGAACGCAUCAAGCCGAUUCUACCUCCCUCUCAAUGUUGACAAAAAACACUAGAUUGGGUUAUGUGUGGAUUUCCCAAGUGCUAAGAUUUAUGUCUUAGAUUGCAAUUCAGCGGUGCGUAGUGAUUCUCAGCUGGCUCUGGAUCUUCUUCCCAUCUCUGAUAUGUUCCCUGCUUUAUUGAAGAGUAGUGGUUUGUUAGAGAUCCCCGGAGGUAUUGGACUUUUGUCAGAAAGAAUAAAAGGUGUUGCGCAAAACAACAAUGCGGCUGACUCUGCUCUCACCGCCGCCUUGCUUAUGCAGACGCAUGCUCUGUUUGGACCCAACACUUGCAGGUGUAUUACUCCGGACGUACUUGGUGAUGAGGCACAUCGUGCUGCUGUUAUGUUGUAUGAGUUCCAUGAGAAGCUCCAGUAAACUUUGACUCAAUGACAUGUAGUUUAUCUGUUAUGUUUUGAAUUUCCUUCUGUGAGAGAUUAUUCCUUCUGGAUUGUGGGUUCUUUAGUAUCGUUCUUAAACUCUAUUUAUGUUGCAUAUGUCUGAGAUUCAAUGACGUUUAAUACUUUUUUUUCUACUCCUUUGAUGCUUAUUUGAACUGUUUUUCUUUUCAUAAGUAUGGGUUAUUUAGGUGCAUGUUUCAAGUUUAUCGGUUUCACUGUGUAGGAAUGCUUAAUUACGUGAACUCACCAAAUUUUUUCCUCUUCCAACUAACACUAAUUACAAUUCAUUUGGAUCUUAUUUUUGUCACAAUGUUGUUUAUAAAGUUGAAUAAUACUGUCAAAUUCUUGUAUAUGCAAUUGCUUAUGAUUGUUCUAAUUAUUAGAAGUUGAUUGGUGUAAUUGCUUCUUUUAAUUGUGUAACCGGUUAUAAGUUAUUGCUUUUGCAUUGAACUUCACAAAACUUUUUUCCCGUUUCUACGUACACAUUUUCAAGUAGUUUUUCUUUACGCAAAUAUUUAACAUAAAAGAGCAUAUGGCCAACAGAAAAGCAUAUUACACAUAAAGCUAUUACACAUAACAUGCAUAACAAAAGAAGCCAGAGUUUUAACAUACUAAUUAAGAUUCAUUCUACAUUCGUAUGGUAGAACAGAAGGGCUGAUAGCAUAUGUCAAAAACCAUCCUAACUCCGUCUUUUGUAUAAGCCAAAAUAUUAUUACUUUUGCUGCCUUUUCACAUCAACAAGAUUUUCCCAUAUCUCCGGUUGCUUCUUUUACUUUAACGGGGUUAAUAGCGUCAUCAGCGGCAUCAUCUGGCACUGUUGUGGGGGUGAUCAUAAGGACGUCCUCCAUCAUUCAUUUGCUCCAGAACCGAUCAUGUUUGAAUAAUAUGUCUGCCCGUUUCGGCGCCCAUUGCGGAACUUUCACCUUCCAAUUAUCUAUGACGAAAGAAAGUGUAAAUAUAAACACAGUUGCAGAGGGGCUGCAUAAUAUUUUGUAUGGACAUAAUAAAAUUAUGUUGUGUUCUUACCUGGAAAGAAUAUUCUACCGGUUAGACGGUCUUGAGUACCUACAUUACCUUUACUCAUGGUUCCUUCACAUUCCAACUGAGGUUUAUUCCUACCACUUGAAGCACUUGAAGAGUCCUCGCUUAAGAAAAGUAUAGGGUGUCCUAAUGGGUUGUCGGGGCUGCCUAUGUUGAGUGAGCUGUGUGGAUAGCCGACGUGUUCUGAUCCCGUUACUCCAUAGAUUCUUUGGAGCUCGACUGCAUAUCUUGAAGACAUUAAAUGUUCCCAAUAUCCAUUCCUUUUUUCCUCUUCAGGCGAAGUUGUGGUAAUGGUAUGGUGUUGAUCAGUAGGGACAAAUCUCCCCGCGUGUUGACUGUUACGCAGAAAUCCCCUCGCAAAGCUACCAUGGGUAGUCGAGGGAAGUCUGUUCAGAUUUCACGCUCCACUGGGGAAGCCGUACAUUAUACAUGGAAAGUGGAAAAAAAGUUUAUGUAAUGGUAUUUAUUAUUUUUCCUAAGUUACUAUAUGGACGUAAGUAAUAUUGAUUUAAAUAUGAAAGUAUGUCGAUCGCAUACUACUAAUCUGAUUCAGUUAUGUGGCCAUAGUGUUGUACUCGCUCCGUCUGAUUUGUACUACCCAUUCUUUCAAACAUAACGUUUGGGUGAAUAUGGAGAGGGACAACGUGAUUGCCAUUACCAUCAGCAGCGCCGCGAUUAAGGUCGAAACGGCUUUUGGCUUUACCAUCUUCAAAUGAAAAUCGAUAAACACUAACCAUCUCUUCUGGUGUGAAAAUUUCAUUCAGCACUUGGUCGCUACAGACUAUCUCUUGACCUCUCACAAUCGUUGCAGUAUAUUUAAUUUAUAAAUUUUAAUCCAUGUAACACCAAAUCAGAUAAAUAAAGUUUUGGUUUAAACAACAACAAGCUCUUAAUAUUACCCAUAAUCGCGUUCAUGUGUGAUUCUUCAGUAACUCCUUUGCCAAGAAAAGACCAACUUCUGAUCUUAAACGGCGCCCUGCAUGUGAACUGGUACUGGGCGACGUCUUCUGCGCCGAAGAUAACAUAAAGAGUUUGCUCGGUAUUCCAUUUGUGGACACUUGUUAGCAUCUCAACGUCAGCAGUGGUGGCUAUGUUGUGAGUUGGGCACGUCUCACCGUUUGGUUCUAGCAUCCAUGUAGGUAGUUGAAAUGUGAUUAAAAGUGGGGUUCCGGGAGUUAGGUUAAAGACACCUCUAACAAAACCCCUAACUCUAUCGAAUUGUUCGUUGUCACGGAUGAGAAUAUAUUGACGCAAGACAGAUUGAUCUUGGGUGAACCUCCAUACUUCCUGCUGCGAUUUCGACCAUCGUCCCUUCAUAACUCGGAUGAGUCGAACCAUCUGAAAGAGUGUGAGUUAGUAAAAUAUUUAGACUUUUCACACAAAUAUCUUUGUAAAUGACAUGAAUAUGUGAAACAACAUGGAAAAGUCUUACUUUUCUUUAUGUCCCUUGUCUAGUUAAUUAAAUAUAUAUUUAUAAGGAUCUGCAAGUUACCCGUUUUAGUGACUUAAAAUUCGGAACUACUUCCUUUACCUUUGAUCUUCUUUCUAUUGGUAGAUGAAAUAAUCCGGUUUAUAAGAAGACGAGGUUGGUGUAUAUAACUGAACUUAUAAUGUCGUUUAUAUAGCCACAAAUUGAAACGGUGAACCGGUCAUUUUUUUUUAAUAUUUAUCAAACCAGAGAAUCCAUGACAUAUCCAGCCAUUAAUGCUCCGCAGACUACCUAUUCUUAGGGUAUCAUCAUGACGUCCCCUUUUGACAUGACAACACGUGAGGUCUUCAUUUUUAAUAAGUUUUAAAAUGUUUAAUAAGAUCAUUAUCUUAUGUGUUACGGUUUGUAAAAGUCUUCUUCCGUAAGCUAUGUUUAGAAAUAUCUUGAAUAGUUCCAUCGUUGCGAUUAUAGUGCCACUGGUUUAGGAAUAGUGACACCGGUUCAAUUACAGAGCAUCCGGUUGAUGCUACGCCUACUAAUCUUUAUAUUGGUGAAUUAGUAUUAUUUACCUUAUUUAUUUAUAACUUCACUUAUCUGAGGUGGUUAUAUAGUGGUGGAGAAAUAAUGCCAUGUAAUAGAAAGUGUUAAACCAACUAGGGAGCCUUCUACCUUCUCUCCUGGAUAUUUGUGUGUUUUCCCAAGACAUAGAGGAGGCCUAGGACGUGAUCAUCCAUGAACAAACUCCAUCACAGGGUUGUUCCCAACUCCCAGGAUACUGCUUUCCCACACACCUCUCUCCUUAAGGCUCUCUUGACCAUAGGAAGUGGAAUCCGGCCAUCUCUUUUCUUCCCUGACUAUUUGUGUGUGUUCUCAGGUCCUGGAGGACGAUUUGGGUGAUGUCAACAUGAAUCAAUACCAAUCAAAGGGUCGUUCAUAACUUCCCCUCUGAUCUCUCCCAAAACUGCCUAUUUGUGGCCUUCACACCACUUUUGGGGUUGGAUGUUGGAUCCGACCAACUCUCUGUGUUUUCUUUGUGUUUCAUGGUGUAGGAGGAAGCUCUGGUGUGCCUGAAAAGGCACGGAAUUGCCUGCCUUUUAUAGAAGAAGGGAUGGUUACUUCUCAACCAUUGCAUCCCUUCGAUUUCAAUUCUGGCCACUGAUUUAAUCAAUGGUCCAGAUCACACCCAUUCGCCUAUGGAAGUUACCAGACGUCAUGAGCCUGCUAAUCCACUCCUAAACAAGUCACACUGAAGCCCUCACGGAUUACCCAAGCCCAUGGCUCAAUCCCAAGAGCCCACUGGCUCAUAGCCAUCCUUGGCCAACCAACCGACCCGGUAACCGCCCGGACCUGUCCUACUGGUCCGAGACCUGAACACUCAGUCUAGCUGAGUUGAGCUGAUCCCCAGCUGAGUGAGGUAGUCCAUCCAGCUCAGGGAUCUGACACACUCUACUUGAGCUCCAAUCGAGCUUCGUCUAGCUGGUUGAGCUUCUUGCUUGAAUCGCCUAGCUGCUAGACACUUCGUCCAACUUGGUUUCUUCAUCUUAUUCAAUCCUUAUAAGUCCCUUGGUCUAUUUCUAGACCUAUACUAAGUUUUUCCAUGAUCCAUGCUGGCUUACACUUGGUGAGCUACCUCCGAGCUUUACCAUUGUACCGUCCAGCUACUGUAACACUUGACCAACUCCUUUGAGCUUGUCUCUAACCAGUUUUGGUUAAGUCUCAGCUGUCUGAUUCUCUUAACCACGUUUUUGGAUCAUGACAUGCUUGUCUUUAGGUCAUAUGACCUUACUGGUGCGUCUCCUCGCACCAUGGCUCGUCCCGGACGAUCCUAUCCAGGAUCGGGGAUACUACAUAUAUUAAUAAUAAACUAUAUGCAUUUUUAAUAAACAAUAUCAAAAUAACAGGCAAAAAAAUUUCACACCACUUUUAAUGAUAUUAAAGCUACUAAUUAAACCCUACAUUCUAAAUUUUCAACUCUAAACCUUAAAUAUAAACCCUAAACUUUAAAUCUAAAUCCUAAACCCUACAUUCUAAAUUAACAUUCUAAACACUAAACCCAAAUCCUAUACUUAAAACCCAAAUCCUAAACCCUGAACCCAAACCGUAAAACCUAAAUCCAAGACUCUAUAUCUUUAACCCAAUUAUAAAACAAAAAGCUUUAAAAACAUCGGAAGUACACGUUACAAUAAAUUCUUUAUUGUUCGGAUGUAUUGUGUUUCGAUCAGAAUUUAUCCAAAAUUCGUAUGUUUUCUUUGGUUCUAAAACCUAUGUUUUUGAGGCUAUCCGGUUAUUUGUCAAGGAUAUUAAAAACAAUAAACCCCCGAAAACAGAGAUUAACCCUAAGUAACAAAACUUAGAUUCAUCCUCUGCUGCCGCCAGGAUUUACCCAAAACUAAAUUCUAAACCAUAAACCCUAAAUUCUAAAUUCAAAUUCUAUACCCUUAACCCAAUUCGUAUAUUUUGAACCCAAAUUCUAAACCCUAAAUCCAAACCGUAAUCCCUAAACCCAAACCCUAUAUCCUAAAACCAAAAAGUAUAUCCAAAUCGCAAACCCUAAACCCUAAAUCCAAACUCUAAAUCCAAACCCUAUACUCUAAAUCUUUAACACUAAUAUAAAACAAAGGCUUUACAACCAACGGCUGUACGGGUUACAAAAAGUGCUUUAUGGUUUGGAUGUAUUGUACUCCAGACAGGAUUUACCGAAAAGUUGUAUGGAUUUUUUUUUUCUGAAACAUAUGUUUCUGAGGCUACCCGGUUAAGUUCAAUAAUAUAAAAACAGCAAAACCCUAUUUAGCAUCAUAAACCCCAAUUACAAAACUAUAACAUAUACCUUACACAAAUAUAUGAAUCAGAUACCAUUAAUCACAUAUGAAACCAAAAUUCAUAAGAACCUAUAAACCAAGAUAUUUACUAUCCUGACAAAAUACAGAAAAUAUAUAUAGGACAGAAUUGAUCCAAAUGAAUGCAUUGAACCUUAAUCUAUCUGCUCAUACAAUGGAGUAAAAUUAAAUAUUCCUGUCAAAAAUACAUAACCACUGCCAUCGAUUGACUUAGUCACAGUCAUAUUAAAAUAGAAAAUUUUAUCCUUAGAGACACAUUUCAUAUUUCCAAUUACUGAAUAAAGCACAUUAGACUUUGAGGUCACUUUCACCUAGUGAAUUGACCUAUAUACCCCUAAACUAGCUAUUCUUGUGUUCUAUUACGUUUCCUAACCAAACAAAAUUGACUGAUUAUAAAAAAGCCAAUAAUCCAUUAAUUUUGGAAUUAUGUUGAAAACCAAUCCUCUUUAGCAAAAUAUAAAAACCUAAAUCCCUAAAUCCACUGAGACUCUUCACGAAACCCAAUCACAUUUUUUUCUCCAUUUCAAAACAGAAUCUGGAAAAAUCUCUCACCUCUUACAAGCUUUUAUUAUCGAGACUACCGGUUUGGAGAAUCUCCCUUGCGGAAUCAAAGCUAUCAGAAUCGAUCGGCGCUGUGGUUCACUCCAAAUCUCCGACAUGGAAGAUCCUUUUCUCUCUUCUAUGCUCCAACAUGAAAUUUUCUAGUUUAGUUUUGUCUGAGUUCUCAAUAUAAACCUCAACUCCAUGUUCUUCUGGUUAAAUCUGCAUAAAAGUUUUAUCCUUUAUUCCUCAACUCUGACAUUCACUCGCCACCUAUCCUUGAUUCCUCACCACUUCACAAUUUGUCUGACCACUGCUCGUUGCACAAUCACACAAUCUCCGUUCACACACUUCGCAACCACUCCACUCCUGACCACUCACCGCCCAUCCACAUAACCUCUGACCAUAAAGCUGCCGAACAGCUGACGCCUAACCACAACAACCUUAGUAACCCGUCUCAUGUCGCCACACAUGAUACACCUAAUGGGUACCUGUUGUUUUGCUCUUAAUGUGCCCUUCAGCUUAUGUCUAUUCAUGUACUUUAAUGCCACAAAAUGAGUAUGUGUGGCUCUUUUGGUAUUUAACUAACAUAUUGCAUACUCAUGCCUACCUUCAUCCCAUGUCCACAGCUGCGUGUCCACUACAAACCUAACCACUGAUUCAAUACGCACACAACGACUUCACAUGCAUCCACGCCAAUCCCAUCCAAGUCCAAGUAACGACCUUGCCCACCAAAUUGUGUACACAGAAUUUGCCCACAUAAAACUUUGUAACAUUUUCGUGUCCAUAUAAAUUGUAUCCACAGAAAGUUGUAUAAAGGAAAAAGAGGUUUGUAACGUUAGAGAGUUAUA